AGAGUUUGAUCCUGGCUCAGAACGAACGCUGGCGGCGUGCUUAACACAUGCAAGUCGAACGAGAAAUUCUCUCGAGUAAUCGAGAGAAAAGUAAAGUGGCAUACGGGUGAGUAACGGGUGGGUAACCUGCCCUUAAAUUGCGGAUAACUCGCCGAAAGGGGAGCUAAUACGCAAUAAGACUACAACUACUUAGGCAGAUGUAGUAAAAGAUUGCUGUUAAAAGCUGUCGUUUGAGGAUGGGCCCGCCUACCAUUAGCUAGUUGGUAGGGUAAUGGCCUACCAAGGCUGCGAUGGUUAGCUGGUCUGAGAGGAUGGUCAGCCACACUGGAACUGAGACACGGUCCAGACUCCUACGGGAGGCAGCAGUGAGGAAUCUUGCGCAAUGGGGGAAACCCUGACGCAGCGACGCCGCGUGAGUGAUGAAGGCCUUCGGGUUGUAAAGCUCUGUCAAGUGGGAAGAAAUGAAGUGGGGUGAAUAGCCCUGUUUCUUGACGGUACCACUAAAGGAAGCACCGGCCAACUCCGUGCCAGCAGCCGCGGUAAUACGGAGGGUGCAAGCGUUGUUCGGAAUUAUUGGGCGUAAAGAGCGUGUAGGCGGCGAGGUAAGUCGGAUGUGAAAGCCCUUGGCUCAACCAAGGAAGUGCAUCUGAAACUGCCUAGCUUGAGUACGAUAGAGGGAAGUGGAAUUCCCAGUGUAGAGGUGAAAUUCGUAGAUAUUGGGAGGAACACCGGUGGCGUACGCGACUUCCUGGAUCGAUACUGACGCUGAGACGCGAAAGCGUGGGGAGCAAACAGGAUUAGAUACCCUGGUAGUCCACGCCGUAAACGAUGGGCACUAGGUAUGGGAGGCAUUGACCCCUUCUGUGCUGAAGCUAACGCAUUAAGUGCCCCGCCUGGGAGUACGGUCGCAGACUAAACUCAAGAAUUGACGGGGCCGCACAGCGGUGAGCAUGUGUUAUCGACGCAACGCGAAGACUACUGGCUGACAUCUCGGACUCUUGGAAACAAGAGUGCCUCGGACUCAUGACAGUGCUGCAUGCUUCGUCACUCUGUCGUGGAUGUGGUAAGUCCGCACAGGCACCCUACUUUAUUGC
rnacentral:rRNA from 1 species